GAUUGGGGGGAUCAGUGGGGGGUAACCUGGGGUGGUUUUCGGGGCGGCACCACGAAGCUAGCCGCCGGCCCUAGCGAGCAAGGCGGAGGGGCGCGGGGGAUUGGGAGCAUCGGCGGCAGGGUCCUGGGUGGGUGAUCGGGUGGCACGACGGAGACGGCCUCCUGCGCUAGGUGGGGAAUGGGGGCAUCAACAGCAGGGAAUCUUGGUGCGGGAGCAGGGACGGUGGGAAAUCCGCUGUGGUCGGCGGCGCAACUUCACACCUCACGUAAGGUUGGAUGAGUUCACUGGAAGAAGGCCUUGUGGUUGAGUUGGUGACGCCCAUAUCUGGUGUUUUUUGUUCAGUAGCUACCAGUUUCAUAAUGAUGCCUUGCAAUAUAUGUGCAACGGCAAGUCAUCCCCAUCAAUCAAGCACAAACAAUCCUCUGGACUAGAAGAUUAUGAGAAACAUUUGUUGUUUGAACAUCAAUGCCUUAGUCUGCUAUGUAGUUCCUUGUCCAGUUUUUUAAUGAACACUUAAUUAGUCUCAUUAUUUGCUCCAGUCAUCGACUUGUAUAUGCUUGUUGUGUCCCAUAUUGUCCAUAAUGUUGCCAGCUUGCUAAGAACUAUUGGUAAUGGUAAUUCAGAGAAAAUUUCCAAGCAA